rnacentral:rRNA from 1 species
AUUGAACGCUGGCGGCAUGCCUUACACAUGCAAGUCGAACGGUAACAGGUCUUCGGAUGCUGACGAGUGGCGAACGGGUGAGUAAUACAUCGGAACGUGCCUAGUAGUGGGGGAUAACUACUCGAAAGAGUGGCUAAUACCGCAUGAGAUCUACGGAUGAAAGCAGGGGAUCGCAAGACCUUGUGCUACUAGAGCGGCCGAUGGCAGAUUAGGUAGUUGGUGGGAUAAAAGCUUACCAAGCCGACGAUCUGUAGCUGGUCUGAGAGGACGAUCAGCCACACUGGGACUGAGACACGGCCCAGACUCCUACGGGAGGCAGCAGUGGGGAAUUUUGGACAAUGGGCGAAAGCCUGAUCCAGCAAUGCCGCGUGCAGGAUGAAGGCCUUCGGGUUGUAAACUGCUUUUGUACGGAACGAAAAGCCCCGGGUUAAUACCCUGGGGUCAUGACGGUACCUUGAGAAUAAGCACCGGCUAACUCCGUGCCAGCCGCCGCCGUAA